GUGCGGUAAGAGCGCACCGCGCGGCUGGCAACAGGCGUGGCGAUGGUAAACCCCACUCGGAGCAAGACCAAAUAGGAAUCCGUCAGCUGUGGCCCGCAGUGGAUUCGGGUAGGUCGCUACAGGCAAGUGGUGACACUUGUCGCAGAUGAAUGAUCGUCCACGACAGAACCCGGCUUAUCGACCGACUCCAUUU
rnacentral:RNase_P_RNA from 1 species